rnacentral:rRNA from 1 species
GAUGAACGCUGGCGGCGUGCUUAACACAUGCAAGUCGAACGAUGAAGCCCAGCUUGCUGGGUGGGUUAGUGGCGAACGGGUGAGUAACACGUGAGUAACCCGCCCUUGUCUCUGGGAUAAGCCUGGGAAACUGGGUCUAUUACUGGAUAUGACUUCUCAUCGCAUGGUGGGGGGUGGAAAGAUUUGUUGGUCUUGGAUGGACUCGCGGCCUAUCAGCUUGUUGGUGAGGUAAUGGCUCACCAAGGCGACGACGGGUAGCCGGCCUGAGAGGGUGACCGGCCACACUGGGACUGAGACACGGCCCAGACUCCUACGGGAGGCAGCAGUGGGGAAUAUUGCACAAUGGGCGCAAGCCUGAUGCAGCGACGCCGCGUGAGGGAUGACGGCCUUCGGGUUGUAAACCUCUUUCAGUAGGGAAGAAGCGAGAGUGACGGUACCUGCAGAAGAAGCGCCGGCUAACUACGUG